rnacentral:rRNA from 1 species
AGAGUUUGAUCCUGGCUCAGGAUAAACGCUGGCGGCGCACAUAAGACAUGCAAGUCGAACGGAAGUCGUUGUAAUGAUAUAGACAUGGACGGAGAACUUGUUCGAAGAAAGUGAAAGUUGACUUACAACAAUGGCUUUAGUGGCGGACUGGUGAGUAACACGUAAGCAACCUGCCUAUCAGAGGGGAACAACAGUUAGAAAUGACUGCUAAUACCGCAUAUGCCUUAGCAACACAUGUUGCAAAAGGGAAAGGAGCAAUCCGCUGAUAGAUGGGCUUGCGUCUGAUUAGAUAGUUGGUGGGGUAACGGCCCACCAAGUCGACGAUCAGUAGCCGGACUGAGAGGUUGAACGGCCACAUUGGGACUGAGAUACGGCCCAGACUCCUACGGGAGGCAGCAGUCGGGAAUAUUGCGCAAUGGAGGAAACUCUGACGCAGUGACGCCGCGUGCAGGAAGAAGGUUUUCGGAUUGUAAACUGCUUUAGACAGGGAAGAAAAAAGACAGUACCUGUAGAAUAAGCUCCGGCUAACUACGUGCCAGCAGCCGCGGUAAUACGUAGGGAGCGAGCGUUAUCCGGAUUUAUUGGGUGUAAAGGGUGCGUAGACGGGAAAUUAAGUUAGUUGUGAAAUCCCACGGCUCAACUGUGGAACUGCAACUAAAACUGAUUUUCUUGAGUACUGGAGAGGAAAGUGGAAUUCCUAGUGUAGCGGUGAAAUGCGUAGAUAUUAGGAGGAACACCGGUGGCGAAGGCGACUUUCUGGACAAUUACUGACGUUGAGGCACGAAAGUGUGGGGAGCAAACAGGAUUAGAUACCCUGGUAGUCCACACCGUAAACGAUGGAUACUAGGUGUAGGAUGUGAUAAACAUUCUGUGCCGUCGCAAACGCAAUAAGUAUCCCACCUGGGGAGUACGGCCGCAAGGUUGAAACUCAAAGGAAU